GUCUUAGUAAAAGCAGCACAUGUGCUAAAAUUAGGACAGAGAGAAGAUUAGCGUGGUUCCUGCAUGAGAAUGACAUGCAAAUUUGUGAAGUGUCCCAUAUUUUU